UAACAAAGAAGUAAAAAUACAUUUAAUUUCGACUUAAAAAUAGGGAAUUUAUCCUCAUGUUUU
rnacentral:tRNA from 1 species